CGCAUCUGUGCAUGCAGCAUAUCAAUAAGCGGAGGAAAAGAAACUAACAAGGAUUCCCCUUAGUAACGGCGAGUGAAGCGGGAAGAGCUCAAAUUUGAAAUCUUCAAGGGUUUACCUUGACGAAUUGUAGUUUAAAGAAGUGUUUUCUGUUGAAGUUUUGGUAAAAGUUCUUUGGAAUAGGACAUCAUAGAGGGUGAGAAUCCCGUAUUUGACCAUUAUUUUCAGCUGUGUGAUACACUUUCAAAGAGUCGGAUUGUUUGGGAAUGCAGUCCAAAAUGGGUGGUAAAUUUCAUCUAAAGCUAAAUAUUGGCGAGAGACCGAUAGCGAACAAGUACCGUGAGGGAAAGAUGAAAAGAACUUUGAAAAGAGAGUUAAACAGUACGUGAAAUUGUCAAAAGGGAAGCGUUUGACACCAGUGUUGUUUUUCUGAAAAUCAAUUAAAGAACUGUUUAUGCUAAGUUGUUUAGACUUUAUCAGCUAACUGUUUAGUUUUGAGCUUUUCUUUAAUGCACUUUUCAGUUAACAAGUCAACAUCAAUUUCUUUUGCUGUAAAAAAGCUUGAGGAAGGUGGCUUGAGAUUCGUCUUAAGUGUUUAUAGCCUCUUGCCUAUGCAGUCGGAGAGAUUGAGGUCUGCAGCGUAGAUCCUUCGGGGCUAAAUGCAUUUGUGCUAAGUUAUAGCAUUUUAUAGACAACUUGUUGACUAUGAUUUGUCUUGUAGGCUUACUCGCUUAUGUUAUUUUACCUACGCUUAGGAUGUUGAUCUCUCACAGUCGAGC
rnacentral:rRNA from 1 species